ACACGCUGGCGGCGUGCCUAACACAUGCAAGUCAACUUGACUGAAGGAGCAAUCUGACAGUAGAGUGGCGCAAGGGUGCGUAACGCGUAAGUAACUUGCCCCAAGGUAAGGAAUAACGUCGAGAAAUCGGCGCUAAUACCUCAUAAUGCAGCGGAUCCGCAUGGAUAUGUUGUUAAAGGUUUACCGCCUUGGGAUAGGCUUGCGUCUGAUUAGCUAGUUGGUGUGGUAACGGCACACCAAGGCUACGAUCAGUAACUGGUCUGAGAGGAUGAUCAGUCACACUGGAACUGAGACACGGUCCAGACUCCUACGGGAGGCAGCAGUGAGGAAUAUUGGGCAAUGCUCGAAAGAGUGACCCAGCAACGCCGCGUGGAGGAUGAAGGUAUUCUAUAUCGUAAACUCCUGUGAGAGCAGACGAAAGACAGAUUAUUAAUCUGGAUGACUGUAUGCUCAGAGGAAGCCCCGGCUAACUACGUG
rnacentral:rRNA from 1 species